rnacentral:rRNA from 1 species
AUUGAACGCUGGCGGCAUGCCUUACACAUGCAAGUCGAACGGUAACGCGGGGCAACCUGGCGACGAGUGGCGAACGGGUGAGUAAUGCAUCGGAACGUGCCCAGUAGUGGGGGAUAGCCCGGCGAAAGCCGGAUUAAUACCGCAUACGACCUACGGGUGAAAGGGGGGAGUCGCAAGACCUCUCGCUAUUGGAGCGGCCGAUGUCAGAUUAGGUAGUUGGUGGGGUAAAGGCCUACCAAGCCGACGAUCUGUAGCUGGUCUGAGAGGACGACCAGCCACACUGGGACUGAGACACGGCCCAGACUCCUACGGGAGGCUG